AGUCGUGCAAAAGAAAAAUAGUGAGAGAAAGGUGUGAGAGGGAACCUAGAGAGAGGAGGAAGAAUGAACGGCCGGAAAACUCACCUAAAACUACCAUCGGAGUCUACUCCGAUCAAGAUCAUGAUGCAAGGAGCCUUUCUUGGAAGGGAAAAGAGAAUGUGGGUGGCCGGAGUCCCAUUUUCCAUCAAGGAAUCAGGAAAACCCGCGAGGAACAACUUUCUACAGGAUCUUUGAAGAAAUUUGACUGAAACCUCAAUUUGAAGGCAGAAAUCCGAGAAUCGUCCGAGAACGGUGAGCGAACUUCCGACGCUCUUAACUCGUCCGGUAGUCAAGAAAAAAAUUACAAAAAAAAUAC